rnacentral:rRNA from 1 species
CCUACGGGUGGCAGCAGUGAGGAAUAUUGGUCAAUGGGCGCGAGCCUGAACCAGCCAAGUAGCGUGAAGGAUGACUGCCCUACGGGUUGUAAACCUCUUUUAUCAGGGAAUAAAGUGAGGCACGUGUGCCUGUUUGUAUGUACUUUAUGAAUAAGGAUCGGCUAACUCCGUGCCAGCAGCCGCGGUAAUACGGAGGAUCCGAGCGUUAUCCGGAUUUAUUGGGUUUAAAGGGAGCGUAGAUGGGUUGUUAAGUCAGGUGUGAAAGUUCGGGGCUCAACCGUAAAAUGGCAGUUGAUACUGGCAGCCGUGAGUAGAGUUGAGGUAGGCGGAAUGCGUGGUGUAGCGGUGAAAUGCUUAGAUAUCGCGAAGAACUCCGAUUGCGAAGGCAGCCUACUAGACUGCCACUGACAUUGAUGCUCGAAAGUGUGGGUAUCGAACAGGAUUAGAUACCCGGGUAGUC